rnacentral:tRNA from 1 species
GGUGUAGCGCAGUCUGGUAGCGCGUUUGUCUGGGGGGCAAAAGGUCGCGGGUUCGAAUCCCGCCACU